GUGUCACACACCUGUCCAUCCCCGUUUGCAGGAACUGGAUCUCUCCGAUAAUCACAUGACCGAGGUGGGCGUGGCCCCGCCCCUCCCCCGCCUGCGGCUGCUGCGGCUGGACCGGAACCCCAUUGGCCACGCCCCCGCUCUCGCCCCAUUGGCUGCCUGGCCCCGCCUGGCCCACCUGGGAUUGGCUGAGACCCCGCUGAGCUCCGCCCCCGCCGGCCCCGCCCUCCUGGCCGAGCUCCUCCCCGGCGUUGACGUCACCUUCAGCUGAUUGGCCGCUGCUGCUGCUUGGCCACGCCCCUCUCGCGCUGUGGCCACGCCCACUUUCCUCUGUUCGGGGCGAGCGCUUCCGGGUUCGGCUCCGCCCCUUCCGGCGUUUAAUAAAGCGAGGGCCCGGUUCGGCCCAGUUUGAUCCCA